AUAAAUGUUGCGCGAAAGUUAUGGACAAAUGCAAGUGAAGAAACGAAGCAAUGAGAGAGCCAAUAGUUGACAAAGCUUCAAUAAAACGGGUCCAAACCUUGAAAGCGUUCUUGAUCAAUUUUAAACUCCGCGUUUCCACAUCUAGCUUCAACACACUUUGAAAGAGCUCUCUCCAAUAUUCAAGUUAAUUCUUGAACGAUCUUUGAGUAGUCCUUGAGAUUUAUUGAAGAAAUAUGCAUCCGAUCUUCUUGGACUUGAUCUUUGAGCUUCAUGACGUUGACGUGGAGGGUCUUCGCUUUGUUCGAAUGUUGGAUCUGACUUAAACUUUGGACUUUAUAAUGUUGAUGCAUAUGGAACGUUGAUGCGGACCUUCUCCUUGCUUCCAAAGUAUGGGUCGAUGUGAAGGGCCUUGCCUUGCUUCCAAAGUAUGUGUCGAUGUGGAGGGCUUCGCCUUGCUUCCAAAGUAUGUGUCGAUGUGGAGGGUCUCGCCUUGCUUCCAAAGUAUACGCCAAUGGGGAGGGCUUCGCCUUGCUUCCAAAGUAUGCGCCGACGCGGAGAACUUCGCCUUGAUUCCAAAGUAUACGCCGAACUUCGAGCUUUAUAACACCUAGCAGCGGAGUGGAAGCAUGCGCUCGCCAAAAGUAACAACUCCAUUAAAUCUGGUAGUAGUGGAGUGGAAGCACGCGCUCGCUAAAAGUACCAACUCCAUUGAAACUAGACUCGAGAAACCUUUAAAGGCAAGACUCACAAUGGCCCAGAUUCGAGCGCACCCAGAAUCUGAAUAAAAGCCAAUUGAGAGCCACCUAAAGGUGCAAGGUAAACAUCAUCCAAUCCAUAUUGAGAAGCUCCGAUGAGUAGAUGAAGAAAUCCCUCGAAUUUGUAUCAGCAAAAUUCUUCGGUUGAAUGCACUCCAUCAAUUUGUAUCAGCGAAAUUCCUCGGUUGAAUGCACUCGAAUAAUAGUUGAAGUUGGGGCAACAUAAAACUUCUAUAUAGAAAAAAAAAAAACUCCACGGCUUCUCAAUGGAUGCGUGCAAAAUCACCAAUUCCUACAAAAAAAAAAGAAGAAGAAGAAGAAGAAAGUCACAGCAUAAUCUUGACGAGUAUAGCUAUCCCACAGGAGACGAAUGCCGGACAGGAUAACUUUGAGAAUAUGGAGAAACAGGUAGUUGACCAUAAUCAUGUUGUUGCUGCUGUUAUCCAUCUGCAUAAUUUGAUUGAGGAGCCAUUAAAGAUUGUCUCCAACUCCCACCGCCGCUUCUCUCCACGCUCGAAUGUGAUCAAGCAAAGCAACUCCCUCACCGAGUACAACCCCACUCCAUCCCUCCGUGCUCAAAGCUGGUUCCUGCUGCUGCGUCCAUUCCGAAGAAGUCGGCGAUUGUCACAAGCUGUCCCUGCUUCUCCAACGCUCGCACUCAAACUGAAGGUCGCCAUAGAAACAUAAUCGAGUCUGCACUCUCCACUUCUCUCCUUCUUUUCAAAAUAUGUCGACGCCACUGUUGCCUGGGAUAGACGUCGCACUGCUGCCAUGGUUCGCCGUCAUGCUUUCUCCGCUUCGGUCCCCACAUCCUGAAAUCCUGCGAGAAGCCUCUCAACUCCACUCCCUCUACGUUCCAAGCUGGUUCCGACUGUUGAUGCGCCCGACUAAAAAGAAGCCAAUGACUGCUGCAAAAACGAAGCCUGAAUUCCUCCAUCACCGCCAUCGCUGAACAGCUUCUUGUGCAGCGCCUCCUCCAAAUACUUCUUCGACGAUCGCUUCCCGAAGGUCUUCUUCUUUGCGAAUUGCUGCAUAAAUGUCGACGCCAUUGAUGGUAAUCCGGCGAGUUUAACCUCCAAGCUCCGCAUUUGUCUCCCUAGCUGGAAGCACAACACAUUCUCCGAUGGAUAGCACCAGCGAGGAGAGCCGCACCGCCGCCGCUUCUGGGGACUGCCGCUACGCGCGCAGCUCCGGUAAAACAGGGCAGCAACAAGGAGCCCAUCCCGCCGCUGCUUCUCUCCACACUCUACUUCAUUUAAAGUCAAGUGAUUAUAUACUGGAUCUCCAGUUAUCUGUGAAAAACAAUAAUAAAAAAAUCGCAGCAAAACUCGAUAGAAAACAAACUUGAAGUUGAUUAUUUUUCUGUCAGACAAUUCAUCGAACAUAUGGAGGGCAGACUACAGAAACAGAUUUCUUACAGUUAUGGGAAGAAGAACUCACCAAGAUUCAACCCCAACGCUGUCAACGAAAGAAAAUUGAAAGAGGAAGAGGAUUUCUGCGAUCCAAGCUUGAGUUUGUAGAAAAAAAAUAUGAACUUUAGCACUCCAUAUAUAGUGCUAGUUCCCUACAAUAGUUAGAAGUCUUUACUUGAAGGGGAACCUACGAAAUUCUUAUCAGAAUUAGCA
rnacentral:lncRNA from 1 species